ACAAGCAGAGAGCCGCACUGAGCACAGCAGCCUGCAGGAGGAAGGAAAAAAAGGAGAGCUUUGGAUGGCAGGAUCUCUCCCUGACACUGGCGUCAGGUUGACUACAGGAAAUGAGAGAUGAGAAGGGCCGGUAGUGCCUUUAACGAAGAACGACGCCAUCUUGAAGAGUCUGGAAGUCUCACGAUCUCGGCCUGAAGCAGAAGCAGAAUGGAAGAGCUCGGCCCAGAGCUUUCCACGCUGGAGAGAACCAACCCCACAAAGACUCAGAACCUCCCGGUGCUCCUUUGGCAUCAGCCAACCGGGAUUCACAAACUCAGCUCCUUCUCUGCCCUUCCCUGGAGAAAACCAAAAUGGGCCGAGGGAAAAGACACAGCCGUCCUGCCAGUAGCUGGUCUUCUUUGACUGGUCUGCUUUGCUGAUCUCUUCCAGAGGCUGCGGAUACACUAGACCAAGAAUAUUCAGAAGCUGGUUUUGCAAAGGAAUGAAUGAACCUGCUUGGGAGAAGCUCCCAUUUCAGACGAGUGCCAGAACAAUGCGCAUGAGUCCAUGUUAGCUAUAUGAGGAAAAAGCGGGCUACCACAGUGGUACAGCUCGCCCCCCAGUCAAACUCUUGAUGUUAUGCCUAGGAAGAUCCACUAUCAUCCAAGAGAAGAUCGGAUUCCCUCAAACACAGAAUCAUGAGCUAGCCACCACUGGCAGUGAGCAGGACAUAGUCUCUAAGUGUCAAAACAGGCAUUCCUAACGAUCCUGACAGCAAAGAGAACAUAGUGUGUGUUUUUUAACUGCAUUUAUAUCUAAUGAACAAAUGAACAAAUACCAUGACCUUGAUGACUGCUUCUCCUGCGGUUCCUUGUAACAAGAGGUUACCAGUGAUCUGAUUUGUCUUCCCCUACUUCUAAUUGUAGGAAUUUGGGGGGCCAAGAGAAUGGAGGGAGUAAGCCAUGUUUUGAUCGAUCCGUGGCAGCAACCGUAGGCAAACCCAGGUGAUAGGGAGAGAAGCUGAAAUUGCAGUGGCAUAAAAACAAUUUAUGUUUCUCUCCAGGGUACUAUCACUAUCAAAUCGGACAUAACGAUAUGUCAGACACAAUCCCUGCACUUGGGCACAGACCCAUUCCCAUUCCUGCUCCAGAGCAGACCAUGGAAAGUCUGAGACACCAACUAGAUCCCCCACACUCUCUCCGGUCACCGUUUUCUGGAGCCCUACAAUGAACCAGGAGUUGAGAGAGGAUCGUUUCAGAUCUCAAAGCACCACAUUCUCAAGAAUAAAAAUGAAUUAUCUUCACCAAACCAAGGAGGGAAAGUGUGCUGCAA